rnacentral:tRNA from 1 species
GGUGAGAUGGCCGAGCGGUCUAAGGCGCCAGACUAAGGAGGUCAAGAGACAAUCUGGUCCGAAAGGGCGUGGGUUCGAAUCCCACUCUCAUCA